CUGUCAGUCUGUUGCUGCUGUGUGUUUUGUGGGGUGACAGUCAGCCUGUACACACUGCUGCUCACACUGUCAGAGAGAUGAUAGAGCUCCUGACAGCGAUGACUCCAGUCAAUGAGCAGGAGGAACAGGACACAGAGCUGAUGGACUCUCCUGAGGUUCUGUGGCCUAAUACUGAGGAUCUGGAGAAGAGAGACCUGCCACGUCUUGGAGUAGCAAUUCAUAGAGCCUUACCCUCAAGAGUCCACAGCAGUAAGUCCGUAGAUGCACCUAG